CAGGCUCCCUCCGGGCCGGCGCCCUCCCGUGGCGCCCGGAACCCAGGAAACACUCCCCAGCCCGCGGGCCGCACUCCGGCCGUCUGCGCCUGCUUCCUCCCCGUUGUUUAAAUUAAACCAGUUGCUAUGAGCCCUUCUCCACAGGGGACGUUUCAUUUCAAAACCAAUUCAUACUACUUCAGUGCCCCAGGUAACUGAUGUAUGCGGGGGAAUAAAAGUCAACCGUUAAUGCUCAGAAUCCCAUGCUAGCCCCGUAUGAGAGGCCGUAAAGCACUGAUAGGGCCGGCGUGGGUUUAGAGAAAUCCAAGGCUGUGGGAUAGAAGGUUACUGCACCCCAAGUGAAAAGGGCAGGUGCACAGAGGACAAGGGACUCGGCCCUCGUCAUCUGCCUCCCCCUCUCCUUCCCUUUUCUUUUCUGAUAUUCCCUCUUCCCUCCAGGCCUCCGUUAAAGCAUCUUUGGCUCUGAGAUCUAGAAGCCGUCCUGCUAUCCCCAGCAGAACACCGCUAUUUUCUUUUCUUUUUCCAUAGAUAAAAAAUAAAGCACAUCUAAGCCAAAAAAAAAAAAAAAAAAGGCUGAUUGUUCAAUAUUAUAAAAUGCCCAGACUUGAUGUAAGUAUUCAUCAUUCAUGCCAUUCAAAUGGUAAAUUAACUUUUUCAGGCCACUAGAGUAUGAAACAGUGUGAUUUAACAUAGAGAUACAUUAAUGGCCGGCCCCGAGGGCUUUAUUUAAUGCCAGAAAUAAAAUGAGUGCUCUGGGGAAUGGGACUUCCAGAUUUCCUGGCACUGGAGGCCCGGUCUCUCCAAGGUCAAGCCACUGUGCUUUUCCUUCCUUUCUCCUUCCUCCUUUUCUACCUACCCCCUUCCUUUUUUUCUUUCUUCUUCCUCCUCCUCUUCCCCUUCUUUCUCUCUCUCCUCAAUUCCUUCACUCAUGGAGGAAGGGGACUCUGGGAUCCAGCCACACAACUCUGCAAGAGUCUGAGCUUUCUGUGGCCUCCUUCGGGUCACUGGGGUGUGUCUCAGUGCUUCAGAUUUUAAGCUGAGCUGCUACUAAGAAAAGCCUGGGUCGAAACCGCCAGAGUCACAAGGUAGGACUCGUGUCCCCAGGAGUUCCAGCCAAGGGAUCGCUCGGCAGUGUCUUGCCCGUGCCAGUGCCGGGCAGGUGGCAGGUGUGCAGUGUGGCGAUGCGAUGCGAUGCGUGCGGGCGUUACUCUGCGCUCAUCGCGGGACGCCUGGGUGGCUCAGCGGUUGAGCAUCUGCCUUCAGCCCAGG